UACGUAGGGCGCGAGCGUUAUCCGGAAUUAUUGGGCGUAAAGAGCUUGUAGGCGGUUUGUCGCGUCUGCUGUGAAAGCCCGGGGCUUAACUCCGGGUGUGCAGUGGGUACGGGCAGGCUAGAGUGCAGUAGGGGAGACUGGAAUUCCUGGUGUAGCGGUGAAAUGCGCAGAUAUCAGGAGGAACACCGAUGGCGAAGGCAGGUCUCUGGGCUGUUACUGACGCUGAGAAGCGAAAGCAUGGGGAGCGAACAGG
rnacentral:rRNA from 1 species